rnacentral:rRNA from 1 species
CUCAGAACGAACGCUGGCGGCGUGCUUAACACAUGCAAGUCGAACGCGAAAGGGACUUCGGUCCUGAGUAAAGUGGCGCACGGGUGAGUAACGCGUAGAUAACCUGUCUUCAUGUCUGGAAUAAUACGCCGAAAGGGGUACUAAUACCGGAUAUUCUUGCUUUUCAUAAGUUAUGCAAGCAAAGGUGGCCUCUGCAUAUGCUACUGCAUGAAGAGGGGUCUGCGUACCAUUAGCUAGUAGGUGGGGUAAUGGCCUACCUAGGCGACGAUGGUUAGCGGGUCUGAGAGGAUGAUCCGCCACACUGGCACUGGAACACGGGCCAGACUCCUACGGGAGGCAGCAGUGAGGAAUAUUGCGCAAUGGGGGAAACCCUGACGCAGCGACGCCGCGUGAAGCGAGGAAGGCCUUCGGGUCGUAAAGCUCUGUCAAGAGGAAAGAAGUGUACAAUGGCUAAUACCUGUUGUAUUUGACGGUACCCCUAAAGGAAGCACCGGCUAACUCCGUGCCAGCCGCCGC